UCGAGACCUGCAUCGAGUGCUCCGCGCUUCGCCAGAUCCAGCCUAAUGUAAUGCUCCAACCAUGUAAUGGUCCAAACCAUACGAGGAUUCAAUUCCAGGGAACUACCAGUGUAACAGCCAGCUUGAGAGGGGAAGAUGCAAGUAAUGGGAAAUCCGCAAACAUUGCAUCCAACGUGAGCUCAUCCCUGUCUUUCAUAAAAGGAGAGGAUACUCUGCAUAUUUUUGAUCGGCUAGCUACCUUAUUCUUUUCUACUCAAGCCAAUAAGCUAGAUGACUGCAUUGAGAUCCAGUCUCUGUCAACAUCUAUAAAUCUGCACUUCAUACAGCGUGACAGUAUUUAAAAAUCAUCCAGAUAAUCCUAGGUAUAUUUGUAGACAGUGGGGUCUUUGUAUGUAAUAUAAUGAAUAUUAAUGGACACCAAUUCAGACCACAAUUAUACAAUUGCUUAAUGUCAUAUACAACACAUAGGACAUAAUUACAACACAUAGGAGACAGUUACAUAGGCUGACUCCACUCGUGUAUCUUAUGGUGGGAUGGUAGUUUCACAACAAUCUCUUGACUUAAACUGCUGAUUCGACGUCUUUUAGAUACGAGGUCUGAUGGAUCAUCCAACCAUGUCGCAUACAAACUUCCUGGAAUUAUUGUCUCAUUAUCCACAAUGACCGGAGGGCCUGUCCGGCGUGAUUUUCUCUUUAUAUUGCGCUCCUUUAUCUUGUUAUUCUUUUUCUGUUCUUCCUCUUGCUUGUUCAAUGAAUCCAAUGCCGCCUCAUGAUUUGCUAUAAUCUCUAAGCUUUUCCGAUAGUAUGUACCGUCAAAUGCUAGAAUCAUUGGUAGAUUUCCCUCUCUUUGUAGCUUCACUUUUCCCAUAUGUUUUAUAUCGUAUGUGUUAUCUCCUUCAACUCUCAUCACCUCGAUCAUGACAGUCUGAAGGGUUAUGAACACUCUAACUAGUGUGUCCACAUCAUAACCAUCAAAGGCUUGUUCAACCGACUCAAUUAGUUCCUUUAGUGUGGUAGGUGCAUACUGAACUGUCAGGGAUUGUAUGGAGCUGAAAAAGCCAAGAUCCAGGGCAUUCAAGUCAGGUGAGUUUGGAGGCUGCUGCAGCAAUUUAAUGUCCCGUCCAGAUUCUUUGACAGCAGCUAGGAAAACUGGAUCAUUUGGAAGAACGUGCGUUCGUGCAUUGUCUUGCUGUAUAAAGAUGGUUUCCCCAUUAUCAGGCCAUAGAUAUGCAAUUGCUGGAAUUACCUUUUCACAAAGGAAUUCCCUCAUUACGUUUCUAGUAACUAUGAUGGUCUUUAGUUCCAUCGUUCCUUUCAACCUAUUUUUGGAGUUGUUCUUGGCUGCGGUUUCUUCAACAAAUGCCCAGAUUCCGAUUUUUCCAUCAAACAUGACUUUUUUUUGCUCAUUGUACCGGGGUUUGGCCACUGCAGUUAAGAACAUAACCUUUCCUAUACUGUUCUUGUUGUGGAUAGUUCGCACAGGGUCUUGUUCUUCCGGCAGUAGAUAGUAUUUUCUGCUCCUCUUUGUCAUGUCGAACCAUUUUUCGUCUAUAUGAACUAUGUUCUCCAUACUAAGGAAAGACGGUUCUGCCUCGGCUGUUGUUGUUUGAUCAAUCAUUGAAGUGCAAAAUUUUAGCCUAGCAAUCUUG